rnacentral:tRNA from 1 species
UACCCCCAGGGGAAGUCGAAUCCCC